GGGAGUUUGAGCUCAGCUGGGAGGAGCAUCUGCCUUGACAAGCAGAGGGUCAGCGGUUCGAUCCCUUAACUCCCA
rnacentral:tRNA from 1 species